rnacentral:rRNA from 1 species
AUUGAACGCUGGCGGCAUGCUUUACACAUGCAAGUCGAACGGUAACAGGCCUUCGGGUGCUGACGAGUGGCGAACGGGUGAGUAAUGCAUCGGAACGUGCCCAGAGGUGGGGGAUAACGCAGCGAAAGCUGUGCUAAUACCGCAUGUGAGCUGAGGAUGAAAGCGGGGGACCAGGCAGCAAUGUUUGGCCUCGCGCCUUUGGAACAGCCGAUGUCGGAUUAGGUAGUUGGUGGGGUAAAGGCAUACCAAGCCGACGAUCUGUAGCUGGUCUGAGAGGACGAUCAGCCACACUGGGACUGAGACACGGUCCAGACUCCUACGGGAGGCAGCAGUGGGGAAUUUUGCACAAUGGGCGAAAGCCUGAUCCAGCAAUGCCGCGUGAGGGAAGAAGGCCUUCGGGUCGUAAACCGCUUUUGUAAGGAAAGAACAGGUGUGUGAUAAUCUCUGCGGGUGAUGACGGUACCGAAAGAAUAAGCACCGGCUAACUACGUG